rnacentral:rRNA from 1 species
UACGAAGGGUGCAAGCGUUAAUCGGAAUUACUGGGCGUAAAGCGCACGUAGGCGGCGAUUCAAGUCAGAGGUGAAAGCCCGGGGCUCGACCCCGGAACUGCCUUUGAAACUAGAUUGCUAGAAUCCUGGAGAGGUUAGUGGAAUUCCGAGUGUAGAGGUGAAAUUCGUAGAUAUUCGGAAGAACACCAGUGGCGAAGGCGACUAACUGGACAGGUAUUGACGCUGAGGUGCGAAAGCGUGGGGAGCAAACAGG